rnacentral:rRNA from 1 species
CAGAAUCCCGCCUAGACGUAACGAUACCAUAGCGCCGCGGAUCUUCGGUUGGCCCCGGAUAACCGGCUUCGGUCGGUGAGUAGAGCCGUUCGUGACAGGGCUGGGGUGCGGCCGGAUGAUGGUCGCCCCUCUCCUAUCUCGCACCGCAUGUUUGUGGAGAACCUGGUGCUAAAUCACUUGCAGACGACCUGAUUCUGGGUCAGGGUUUCGUACGUAGCAGAGCAGCUCCUUCGCUGCGAUCU